rnacentral:rRNA from 1 species
CCUACGGGUGGCAGCAGUGGGGAUACUGCACAAUGGGGGGAACCCUGAUGCAGCGACGCCGCGUGGGUGAAGAAGCGCCUCGGCGCGUAAAGCCCUGUCAGCAGGGAAGAAAAUGACGGUACCUGAAGAAGAAGCCCCGGCUAACUACGUGCCAGCAGCCGCGGUAAUACGUAGGGGGCAAGCGUUAUCCGGAAUUAUUGGGCGUAAAGAGUACGUAGGUGGUUUUGUAAGCGCGGGGUGAAAGGCAGUGGCUUAACCAUUGUAAGCCUUGCGAACUGCAAGACUUGAGUGCAGGAGAGGAAAGCGGAAUUCCUAGUGUAGCGGUGAAAUGCUUAGAUAUUAGGAGGAACACCAGUGGCGAAGGCGGCUUUCUGGACUGUAACUGACACUGAGGUACGAAAGCGUGGGGAGCAAACAGGAUUAGAUACCCUAGUAGUC